rnacentral:rRNA from 1 species
GAUGAACGCUGGCGGCGUGCCUAAUACAUGCAAGUCGAGCGAACGGACGAGAAGCUUGCUUCUCUGAUGUUAGCGGCGGACGGGUGAGUAACACGUGGAUAACCUACCUAUAAGACUGGGAUAACUUCGGGAAACCGGAACUAAUACCGGAUGAUAUUUUGAACCGCAUGGUUCAAAAGUGAAAGACGGUCUUGCUGUCACUUAUAGAUGGAUCCGCGCUGCAUUAGCUAGUUGGUAAGGUAACGGCUUACCAAGGCAACGAUGCAUAGCCGACCUGAGAGGGUGAUCGGCCACACUGGAACUGAGACACGGUCCAGACUCCUACGGGAGGCAGCAGUAGGGAAUCUUCCGCAAAGGGCGAAAGCCUGACGGAGCAACGCCGCGUGAGUGAUGAAGGUCUUCGGAUCGUAAAACUCUGUUAUUAGGGAAGAACAUAUGUGUAAGUAACUGUGCACAUCUUGACGGUACCUAAUCAGAAAGCCACGGCUAACUACGUG